AGUGGUGGUGGCGUCGGCGGCGGCGGCGGCGGCAGCCGGAGCGAGCAGUAGCCGAGCUGGUUUGCAUCCAAGAGAGGGGAGGACAGGGGCAAAAGGAUGCAGGGAGGCUGCUGAUUUCCACUGAAGAGCUAAUUUCCUGUGAGACAUUAACAGUGAUUUAAGAAAAAGAUUCCUGUAACUGGUAAGGAAACUGAGGUAUACAAGGAUGAACUUUUGCAAGGCUACAAAUCUUGUUAAUAGUGAAGCUAACGUUCAGACCCAAGUGGUUCGGCUCUAGACUUUGUCUCAGUUACUGAAUUGAACUCUCUGUGCACUUACGAUGUGUCAUACCAGUUCUCACUACAUAGUGUCCCAAAAGAUUGGGCCUGCUCUUUCUUUCAGAGACAAUUAGGAAAAAAGUAAACAAACGGAGCAGGAUUUGGGCAUAACAGCAUGCUCCUCCCAUCCCCCAAAUCCCAGGAGUGUCACUGAGGUCAGUGCCAGUUAACUUAGUGCUCUUCAACUUCACAGCUACCCUUCUUUGCCCUAAAUUGUGACAUUAGAGCUGAAAUCUGUAAACGUCUUUAUGGUCAGUUGGCACAGUGUUUAGCUUUGUCAAUAGAAGGUGCUAGGGGAACACUGCAGAAAGAAAGGGGCUCCUUUUCUUGGUUCCAGUGCUUUCCUGCUUGCUCCUACGGUGUGGUGGCCAGUGAGUGACUUUCUGACCAGUGGUGUGCAAGAAGGCCAUGUUACAUAAUCUUCAGUAAAUUUGGCCAGUUCCCUAGUAUGUGUCUUUCUAUGGAGUACCACUGGCAUGUCAGUGGAAUGGCUUCCUAGCAAGUUUUACUGAAAACACAGCUGAUGGUUUCCUCAGCAGCCCAGUGUGUGACACCUUAAAUUUCUGGAUCAUUAAGUGGACCACAGCCAUAUUAUUUCCAAUGAGCGCCUACUUUCAGGCUUAGUAGGGUGGAGGGUGGGUAGGGGGAAGUUCUACUCAGUUAUUCCCUCCUUGGGUACUCUCCUAGAGCCUGAGAGAUAGUGGCUGUUCCCAAUAACCACUAUUACUGUAUUCUUUAGUGGGAUUUUUUCCUGUCCUAAUAGUCAAUACCCUUUGACUGGAUCUUAACUGAUAAAAGUGGAACCCUGAGGAAAGCACUAUCCUUGGAGUCAGAAAUUGGGAUCAGAUUUUUUUUCUUUCUCUUAUGGUAUUCCUCAUAUUCGCUUAAUUUCUCCACUGCCUUUACCCUUUUUGGAUUUGAUGCUAUGUCAAGAAAAAAUUAUUUCAUCACUGAGCACUCUGAGUGUAGAGCAGAGUGCUAAAUAUUGCAUGCUAUUCCAGAAGAAAAAUAGUUUAGGAAUCCUAAAAGCCAAAGAAAGAAAGAUAUGAAUGCAUUCAGUUCUUAGAAGAGUUCUAUGAGAUAGAUGCUUGUGGCAGACAUAGUCUCCACCCAGAUCUCCUAGGAUCCCUUUGGUUGAAUCUGAGUAUCCUUCCUCUAGCUUCUGUGUUCUUUUACUUCUCACAGCCUGCCCCGAGAAUCUCUUUGGAGGAAGGCCCAAACACUACUAGACUCACUUUGUGUACUGGCAUAGAGAGCCAGACAGAACCACCUGCAAGUUUACUUCUUUCCCAGGAUACCCUUUGCCAAGGACUUUCCUAUAGAGUAUAAAAGACCAGCCGUCUUGCCUCUAGUAGCAAGAAAACCUGAGGUGUAAUUUACACCCUGAGGCUCCCCUAUAGAAUUAUAUUGAUGUUAAUAUUUUGCCUGAAACCACCUUCUUCCCUAUCUUGCUUACUGUGGUACCUGAUGAGUUUUUCUUGGUAGCAUUUCUAUAAUAAAUCACUUGCAGACAAUCUUCAUCUCAGGGUUUGAUCCUGGGGAUCCUGACUUAAGACAUUGCUAUUCUUUUUUUUUUUUCUUUUACAGAUGAGGAAACUGAGGAUCAGGGCUUUUAAAUUGCCCCAAAUCACACUACUAAUAAGAGAUAGAGUUGUGGUACCUUUUUUAGAGGGACCAUUAUUCUGCUGACUGCAGUACUGUAGAGCAUAAAGUUUCUUAUCCACACUGUUUCUUAGUUCAGUCUGUCAAUAUCACUACUCCACGAUUAUUGUUGUUUGUUUUUCUUUCUCCCUGUCUUUUACCUCAAAAAUCUCUAUUGUGAUGCCAGAGAGACCUUUCUGAAACCUCUCCUUUUUUCUGUGUUUAAAACCCCCCAGUGCCGCCCAUGAAAUACACAGCAAAGUCCAAACUCCUUAUCUUGCUUGGAUCCUCCUUUCCACCCUUUUUAACUGUUCAGCCAUAUUUCUCCAUGUACUUCUGAGAUUGGAACCCAGGGCAACAAAGCUAAUGUGGGUUCUCCAAGAUUAACACAACUGAAAGGAGGCCCCUUUAUGCCAUCUAUUCUAGGUCCCUUGGAAUAUAAUUAAAAACAGGAAUUUCAACAUUGAAAUGUAAUGAUGUUCAGUAAUGUCUUACAAUAACAGAAUGCAGGAGAGCACAUAUCAAUGAAGAAAAGACAAAAUGUACUUAUCCAUGAAGCUGAGGUUAAGAAACCAGUGUCUUCAAGAGCCAGGGACAGCACUGGGUCUGUGCAGAGUUGAGAGAUGGUGAUGACAUGUGGUUUCCAGCAUUCCUCACCCAGUCCAGGGACACUGUGGGUGUGCCCAGCUUAAGUCCAGUAACUGGAAAUACAAGCCCAAGUUCUGGAGAGUUUGAGCUGCAGAGAUAUAUAUGGGAACACUUUGAAUCUUGACUCAUUGGCCAUAACCAGCAGAGUGGAAAAUACAAGAAGAGAAAAAAACAUUGAACUGCGAUUUUAUAACAUCCUUUACUAGGCAGAGAGAAGAGGAAACACCAGGAAAGAAAACUGUAUUACGAUGUGAAAACUUAAUGUUGAGAAAUUCAGGCAUCUUGGGGUUAGUGAGGAGAAGUUUUAGGGGCUUAGAUUCUUCUAAACACAUGUACAGAAAUGCAUAUUUCAUCUGAUAUCAAAUGGCAUUUAUAGUGCUAAUCUUUACCUCAAGACUUCACAUCUUUUGGUGAUUGCAUCUUUUAGGUUUAUAGCAGCUAAGUUUGCAUGAAAACACCAGGGCUGUUUCAUUUCAGUCAAGAAUUAAUGUUCAUUGAUUGUGCUUCUGCAUUUCAUGUAACUAUUGUAGAAUUUGUUUUAGUUUUAUGAGGGAAUAAUUGUUCCAACUUCUAUAUAACUCAGGAAUUUACUCUCAAACAACACUGUCAAUUAGUUACUUAUCUCUCUGGAAAUGAUCUGGGAACAUGGAGAGGAAAGGGAGGAAGGGGCAAAAUCUGACCACUUAAAUCUAAGCAUAUUAGAUCAUUUUAUGCUAGAAAGUCCUGAAUGAUGUGACUUUCGUUCUUGUAAAACACCUCUUUCCAUAGAUUCAUGGCCCAAACAGUAUAUAAAGAGUGGGGAAGGAACUGCAUUUGCAAAUAGUUCAAAUCAUUGCUCCAUCUUAACUACGCAGUUCACAAAGUGUGAAGAAAUGUGAUCAUCUCAAAAAAGAUAAUGGGGAAAAAAUAUGUUUUGUUCUGUGACUUUAAAGUCUUGCAAUAUUUUACAUAAAUGAUAAUGGGUGCUUUAAUAAGAACUCUUGAUACUUUUGUUAUUGUAUUCAAUAUAUGCAUAUAAUACAACAGGAUGAUAUUGUUUUGGAUUUGGAAAUGUAUUCUUUCUUAUGCAAUCUUAUGCAGUCAUACUGCUUGAAUAUCAUUACCUGAAUUUAUCUUUCUUUUUUUUGUUGUUGUUUUACACUCUACUUAUUUGGUGCCUGUCAGUCUUUUGUCGUCAGUUUAUAUUCUACUAAACUCAAAAAGACAAUCUCAUACCUUUUGUAAUUGUAGGCAUUCUUUACUAGAUUUUUAAAUACACUUCAAAAAUUCAAGUACUUUGAUUUCAUGCCAUCAAGUAGCUGAAUCUAUCCCCCCGUCUCUUUUUAAAUUUAAGUGAGUAGUUCAAUUUCUGUCACUUUCUACUUUGUGAAUUCUAAAUCUUUUAAAACCAUCUUGCCAUUUUUCGUGCACUUACCCUUACAGAAAACUCUGUGAAACACUACUUAUCUCUACUUUUAUGUUUUUAACUCCUUUUUUAUAUUACUAUUCCCUCUGCUUUCUAAAUGCACAUAUUAAUUUGUUCUUUUUAUUCUCUGUAGCUCUUCUCAGUGUAUGAAUUCAGUUUCCCAUCAGUCUCCAUACAAUUAAAAAAAAGUUGAGUAUUCUGUUAUUUUAAUAAGAUAUCUAGUGCCCAUAUUCUAAUUCUGCCCCUUAUUUUUAAUAUAAUUUUAUUGUUGAUUUAAAAUGACAACAGUUUCAAUUCCCAGAAAGUGAAAGGAAACAAAGGAAUAAUAUUAUAGGCUUAAUUUUUAUCAGUGAACUUGUAGGUGAAGAAAAGAUUUGGGGAAGGAAAUGAACAUAUUAUAUUGCAAAAUAGUAAGGAACAAUCAGAUGUGUUUUCUAGUCUCUGGAAAAGCAUGUUUCAAGAAAUUCAAUGAAAAGUUCAUCAUGCUUGCUUAGAUUGUUGAGAAGCAAAAACACUGAUGAACAUUUGGAAGCAAUGAGAAUGUAAUUCUAAUCAUACUCUUUUAAUAAUGUUGCAAAACUCUCCAAACACUACUCUGUGUGGAUGUCUUUCAGAAUAUGAUGAAUACUAGUAGUCUUAUUCUGCCCUUUUCUCUCUAUCACAAUAUAUACAUUCUAUAUUGCAUACACAUAUUUUCCAAAUAUUACAUAUAAUUUCAUGUAAUUUAUAGACCUAUUAAGGCCCAACCAUUUUCUUGGAUAGGGGAUUCUUUAGAAGUCCAGCUUAAAUAAAGCCCGUAUAGAAAGUUUUUUUAAAAUUUAUACAUAAUCACCUAAAGUAACCUUAUCUACUGAACUCUUAGUACAUGCUACUGGAACCUUUUAUCAUGUUUCUUCCUGGCUUGCAUUACAACACUGUUGACAUAUCUCAGCCUUACUUCUAGGCUUCUUUGAGAGCAUGACUCAUGUUUGUAUUCCUCACUGAGGUUGAAUGAAUAAGAGAAACUACAGUAGUAGGAAAAAACAGUACAUGUACAUAUCAAUGAAUAUGAAAGGGUCAAAUGGAUCUAUUAUAGUAAGCACAAAAUCAACUGACACCAGCAAAGUAAACCCAAAAUUUUUAAUGGUAUUUUAAUAGAUCAAGAGGAGCAAGCAGAUUUUUGAGACAGUUGUCUCCUACUUUCUCUAUCACAGGGAGUAAUUUUAAAAGAAAAAUGGAGGGUAAGUUUCUUUAAGAGAAAAUUGUAGUUUAAAACAGGUCAUGGGAUAAUUAGAAAUAAUUUAAUUUCUUUAGAGGAUUUUAAUCUUUCAACUGCUUGCAAUUAGAUCCUAAGGCAAUAAAAGAAUAAGGAGAUUUGGAAAACCAUUGUCUGUAAUCUCUGAAGAAAAGUGGACAUUAGGGGAGUCAGUUGAAAAGCAAAGCUAUCACCAUUUUCUAAAGAGGAAAAAGGUGAACCUCACAAACUAUAGACCAAAAAAAUAGGACAUCGAGAGAAAGAAUAUGAAGCUAGCAUAGGUUCACAAAGAAUGAGUCAAAUCAAACAACAUGCAUUUUUUAUUUAUAAAGCAUGACUUGUUCAUUGUCAAUUCAUGUUAGCUUAAUCAUUAGGCAUUAAUGCCAUCACUGCAAUGCAUAUGUCAGCAAUAAAUAAUCAAAGACCAGGCUUCCAUCAUUCUGUUUAAUAUCUUCAAGUAAUGCUUAAGUUUGCAAAUGCUCUUUUAACACAUUCUCCAUAUGCAGCCUGCCCAGCACUGCACACAAUAGACCUGUUACUUCCCCCUCACGAGCACUCCUAAUAUUUCAUGUGCUCAUCCAAUUGACUUCUCCCACUGGUGCCUCAUAUUGAAUUUGUAGAAUCACACCUGCUCCUUUUUCAAAACUCUUCUGAGUUUUUUCUUAAAUAAUUCACUGACCCCAAAGUUGUCAGAUAUUUGAAGACUACUCGCACAAUUUUAAUAUUAUAAAUGUAUAAUGUAAAUGUAAUUAAGAUUUGUAUAAUGUACGAUGUACUUUGGUAAAUAAAAGUAUGCUGUGAAUAAAUACGUAUGAUACAAUUCAAAAUUUUACAUAAAUAUGUGAUAAAAUUUAGCUCAUAUUCUUUUUUUUUUUCUUUGAGACGGAGUCUCACUCUGUUGCACCCAGGCUAGAGUGCAGCAGCAUGAUCUCAGCUCACUGCAACCUCUACCUCCUGGGUUCAAACAAUUCUCCUGCCUCAGCCUCCUGAGUAGCUGGGAUUACAGGUGCCCGCCACCAUGCCCAGCUAAUUUUUUUCUAUUUUUGUUGUUGUUGUUGUUUUUAGUAGAGACGGGGUUUCACCAUGUUGGUCAGGCUGGUCUUGAACUCCUGACCUCAGAUAAUCCACCUGCCUCGGCCUCCCAAAGUUCUGGGAUUACAGACGUGAACCACGGUGCCCGGCCUAGUUCAUGUUCUUUAAGGACAAUUAUGAAUAUUUUUAUGCACUGUUAAUUUUCAUUAAGAUAUUGAUCAAUUAAUAGCUAUAUAUGUUCUAUAAAUUAAUCCUAUCUAGUUUCAAUCUUAAAUUGUUUGCAUAUACCAAUCUAGUUUAUUGUUUGCAUAUAUUUUAUAGUGUAGAGAUUAGGCAUUUUAAUAAAAUUUUAAAAUUUCCAGGACAUACUGUUAAUGACUAUGCUUCCUACUAUAGGCCAUAAUUAAUUUUUUUCUAUUGUCAACAAUAUUUUGGUAGGGAUGAUCAGGAAAUAAGGAAAUGUUUCCUUCAUUUGUUAACAAUAGGUGUUUGGGGAUUUUAAAAUGAAAAUUGAAGAAGUAAAAGACACCAUAUAUUUAGUUUGUUUGAUUUCGUGGCUUCAAGAGUUCAAUAAUUUAUUGAAAUAUUUUACAGACCAAAGAACAACAGAUAUAUUACGUUUAUAAGCCCCCACAUAUUUUAAAGGAUAAUGGUUUAUAUAUGAAAAUUCCCUGAACCUACACUUCAUCAGGAAAAGCUAAAUAAAAGAAGUUUACAUUUCCUAGGACUAAUGGAGAUUUAUUUCCCAGUCCUCUUCUCUGGAGACAAAUGUAGGUCUCUCUUGAAAAGCAGAAAGUUUUGCAUAUGAGGUAUGAUUUAGUGGGCUAGAAACAUCUUUUCCACCCUCCCCAAAAUGUUUCACUAUGUUUUAUCAUACUAUCUGAUAAUUUUGCAUUUGAUUCUUUCAUGCCUUCAGUUAUACUACUUCUUAGGUUAGUUCAUAAGGGUUUCCACAAUUUGGUUCCCACUUAAAAUUUAAAACUUCCCUAACCCAUUCCCACCAUAUAUUGUGCUAAUCCAUGCAUAUGUGACUUUGCGUAUGCUGUUUUCAUUGUUUAAUAUUCUUCUCAUGCAUUCGUUCUUUCCUGAUAACGAACUCAUCUUUGAAACUCCCCUUCAAGCAUCCUCUACUUUAGGAGGCCGCUUCUCACUGUCUCCUGCCUACCACCCAUUGAAUUGUUCAAUUUUUAAGCUGCCAUUGUCUUGUGCAGUUGACACAUUUCUUUGCAAUUACUGAUUUACAUGUCUGCUUUUAUCACUGGUGAGGUUCUUUAGGACAGAGACAUUAUUAAUUCAUCUCUGGGCACAUAUGUUCCAACAUAUUAGAAGUACUACAGAGUGCUAUUACUAUGUAGUAUGUAGUAUUAGUAGUAGUUACUCACAAAUCAUUUUUAAAUAAGUGAUUAUAAUAUCUUUUUGUUAUUAUGAUUUAACACAAGAUGGAAUUUA
rnacentral:lncRNA from 10 species